CAAUGGACCUCCAGUCUUACUCAAUAAUAUUGCUCUCAGUUGACACCAGUUUUCACUUCAAAAUUUAAACUAAUCUGUGUGAUUUAUUUGUUUUUAAGGGCAAAGUAUAUGAAGGGCUGGUUUCCAAGAUAUUGGAUUUCAGGACAUGAAGAACAGCAUUUCUUGAGCCUCAAGACUGCCUCCCUUAUUUCUGUCAACGUAAAAAUCACACCGAAGUUAAACAGAAGCCGCAGAUAUGAUGGAACGGAAAGUACAAUACCCACAAGAUGCCGGCAGCACUGAACGCUGCAGACAAAAUUUUUUGGCCGGGUCCGGGUUUGAACCCACCACCUCCGGUAUAUGGGGCCGGAGCUCUACUCCUUUAGGCCACAGGUUAUGCUGCAGUAAAAACAUGAUAUUCAAACCUGAGUGAUUUCUAACAGCAAAGAGAUAUUUCUAGUUCAUGCUGAAGGCCCAUCUCAAAUAACUGCACCUCUCUUCCUCAACUUCCCUCUUCCCCGACCCAACCUGACAGAUGGCUCCUAUUUAGUAUAAUUCAUUAUGGAAGAAGG